rnacentral:lncRNA from 1 species
CCCAUUUGACUUACUCAAAAGCCCAAUCCCAAGCCCAUUGAACACUAAAACCUCCAUUGACUGGUGCUGCAAGUCUAACAGCACCGUGUAACUGCCCGACCAGCAUGAAUCCCUCGUCGAUAAGGUAUUCCUCAUCUAAUUAAAGCGUACAAGUGUAGUGAUUUUAGCUAAACUAUUUGAUCAAUUUUUGGAAUUUAAUUUUCUUAUGCUUUCGUUGUCUGGUGGUUUUACAACAAUUUUAUGUCCAUUUGUGGGGAGAUUUGUUUUCUUUUGCUUGUGUUUAGAAUAAUUCG